GGUUACAAUUCUCAAACAGGGCCGUAAACUUGAUUAUUUGCUAGGAUAAUACUGAAUUUUUCUUUUUUUUCCUUCCUGCUCUUGGAUUUGAUGUUGACUCAUACAGUGGCAGAGACAAUAAUGCAAAAUUUUCCCAAUCAUGUAUUCUUCAGCAAAGGCUCUUGAUUAAGCCUUUAAUCUCUCCUGGAUUAUUUAUCCUUAAAAAUAUCAGGCUUGGCUUCUUCCUCCCCCUUUGUGGGAACCACAGCUUGAGAUUUUCUAUAAAUGAGCUACUCUCUUCCUUCUCAUCAUACUCUGGCAGCAACCCUUUCUUACAGAGAAAAUGGAAGCAGGUCCAUUUUUAGUCUAUGUGCUAAUAGCAACUCUCAUUCUUCAAUUCUCUACCCUCACAAAUUCUAGCUCAGCCACCCAAUACAUCAGAACAUCAUGCAGCAACACAACCUAUCCAAGAUUAUGCUACCACUCCCUUUCAAUCUAUGCAAGCNNNNNNNNNNNNNNNNNNNNNNNNNNNNNNNNNNNNNNNNNNNNNNNNNNNNNNNNNNNNNNNNNNNNNNNNNNNNNNNNNNNNNNNNNNNNNNNNNNNNNNNNNNNNNNNNNNNNNNNNNNNNNNNNNNNNNNNNNNNNNNNNNNNNNNNNNNNNNNNNNNNNNNNNNNNNNNNNNNNNNNNNNNNNNNNNNNNNNNNNNNNNNNNNNNNNNNNNNNNNNNNNNNNNNNNNNNNNNNNNNNNNNNNNNNNNNNNNNNNNNNNNNNNNNNNNNNNNNNNNNNNNNNNNNNNNNNNNNNNNNNNNNNNNNNNNNNNNNNNNNNNNNNNNNNNNNNNNNNNNNNNNNNNNNNNNNNNNNNNNNNNNNNNNNNNNNNNNNNNNNNNAUAUUGUGUGUCUCCUUGUGGUUGUUAGUUGAGUUUGUUGGGAACCCACUUCUCAGGAGAGGUCAAGUAAGAGAAAUUUUAGCCUUAAUGAUUAUGGGUCAUCCUCUUCUGCAAUUAUUGAUUAUAGGUUUCAAUACUUUGGUGUGUAUGGUUAAUUAUGAUCAGUUAUUUUAGUUGUAAACACUUGAGGUUUCUUUUAGGUUGAUUUGAAAGUGAAAAUGUAGAUUUUCUUUCAUGUUGUAUGCUUAGCAAACUAUGUUUUAUAUUCAUCUGUAAGAAUAUGAAAAUUAAUUUACUCUGAGAAAGGAAAUUUCCCAUGUAAUUGUUCUUCUUUCAAUUCUACUUUGCUACAGGGAGACUCUUAUCCCUUUCCAUUUGUUUCAGCCAGGUGAUAGAUUUUAGUAUCGGAAUCUAGUUAAAUUAAAUCGAAAUUAAAAUAAAUAAAAUUGAAUUAACCUGAAUUAAUAUUGAACCAAUUCAAAAUUAUUUUUUCCUAAAGACCAAGGAUAAUGGUGGGAGUUUUGAAAAAAUGUACUAAUUUUAUUGUGUUAUUCAUAAUAAAAUUUUAGAGUAUAUAAAAGUUUUUAUAUAUUUUAGUUAUAAAUCUUAUAAAAAUAUUAUCAUAAAUAGUAUAUAUAUAUAUAGAAUGAUUGCAUAAAUUAGCAUGUUCUUGUUGCUUACAUCAACAUCAUUAUAAUCUAGAUAAAUAGGAGUGGAAAAGAUUGGAAAUAGUUGAUUCUUUUCCCUUUUUCUUGGCUGGUCAGGUUAGUUGUAUCACUUUCUACUCAUUAUUAAAGAGCAACCAAUGGUCUUUACAAGAAGUAAAUUAAAUAAAUAAAUUUUAGCUGUAUUUCUCGUGACAACGUAUCAUUUGUUAGUUUUUAGUUUUUUUUUUUUUCAAUUACAAAAUUUAAAUAAUUAAUUUUAAAAAUAUAAAAUAUAAUAUGUAAUAUUAUAUUUAAUGAUGUAACACAAUAAUCAUCCAAAAUAAAUAAUAUACUGGCACUCAAAAAUAAGGUCACGUGGUAAGAGUUUGAUCAAGUGAUAUUCGGUUUCACCGAAAGAAAAGAAGUUUCGAAUGCUAGGAAGUUUUGAAUGCUUCAAGUCUCAGCUUUUCGCUAAAACUCGUCUUUCCAACUACAGGAUGAGUCCUCACGACAAGUUACCGUUAGAAAACGCAAUCUAACAAAUUCCUAUUACACCUAUUGAUCGAAUGUUAUUUCAAUAUAUUUUUCAUAUAGUUUUUAGCAUUGAAUUGAAUAUUUUUUUUAAUUAAUUUUAUAUUUUUUUGUAAUAUUUCACAGAAAAACAGAAAAGCAAAAGAGAAAUAGAUUUGAUAAAAAUGUGUUAAAAAGCGCUAAAAUUGAUUUGACCAACGAUUUGGACAAACCUACAAGAUGAUUGUGUUUCACAUAAUUCAGAAUUAUCCAGACUUUCAGUUAGAAGAUUAGAGCAGUGAUUUGUCUAAACCACUAGGCAAAUCAACAGUCUGCACAAAGACUUGACAGUGAGCUGAAAAAUAAUUCAAAUUUAAAAUAAAAGAUUGGGCCUCCUAAUUCAAAGCUGUGGGACCCACUCGAUUUUUCCUCCUUUAGUGUAGUAUGAUAUCUUCUCAAAUCAAGGAGUUCUCUCGUGAAUGGAAACAUAUUAAAAGAAUGAUUCCUAAUUUGAAGCAUAGAAGAUUUUAUAUUCCCAAAAGGAUUCCAUUAGGGCUCAACAUCUAUUUAAGGCCAUUUUGGAGGACAACCGCAUAUCAUCUUCGAUCUCUCUCUGCCAGCUAAUUCUCUCUUCUCUUUUAUAUUUUCUUUCAAAGUUAUAAGUGGCUAAACUUUUUAUUUCUAAUUGGAGUUUGGUUGAAAUUUCAGUUUAUACAUGAAUUGUGAGAUCAAAAAAUAAUUGGUCAUUUUUUAUUCUUCUAAUAUUUAUGCAAUUUCAGUUCUUAAUAUUAUUAUUACUUUGUUAUUUGAUCAAUAUGAACCAUUGUUCAUAUUUUCAAAGUGAUAUAUUGGUGGUUUGAAUGCUUGAAAUAUGUAAUUGCUUAAAUUCUUCAACAAUAAGUAACGAUUAGUGUAACCCACUAAAAAAUUGCAUAAUUUAGCUUGAACUCAUUACGCGGUUUGAUUUGUUGGUUAGAAUUGAGUCUCUCUAAUUCUUAAGACAGUUGAUAAAUUAAAAUCCCAAAAAUAUUCUUUGGGCACUUUGUUGACUAGGGUUAAUUAGCGAACGGUUCCUAAUUAAUUUAAAUCUAAGGAGAGAUUGUUUAUGAUAAGUAUCUUCUAUAACUAAAACUAAUUUAUUGGAAUGAAUAAAAAUAUUUUUAUUUCUAUGAUCAAUUUUCAAAACUAAAAUGGAUCCUAAACUUCAACUAGAAUUUGUUUACAUUGAUUUAUUUCUCUUUUGAUUAUCAUUUUCUUUAAUUACUUUGAUUUUUAUUUAGCUCAUCAUUAAAAACCCCUUUUUACUUUCAUUAUUUAUUUUUCUAGUCAUCGUUUAGAAUUUCUUAGUGUCAAUUUUCUGUGGAUUCAAUCGUAUUCACUCUAUACACAAUUCAUAUUUAUUUAUUUUUAAUAGAUUAUUUUUUAUGGUUUCGACACCCAUCACUAUAAUAUCAGGAUCCCAUACCCACUAGCCGGUACUAGUCGGAUUUCUAGGAGAUGUGAUAACCAACUAUAUCUUCUGACAGAAUAAAAGCAGAUGAAUACAAAGACCAAGGUACACAAUUCUUACACAACUACUAUUAAGUUUAAAAUACUAUAUUACACAUGCCAUUCUUUUCAAUUUACUGACUUGAGCAUUAAAGUAGUUGCUGUAGGCGCUAACCACCUCACAUUUUCUUUUUUUUUUUUUUUGCAGAUUGACCAAUCACAGCACAACUCUAUUUCAACCACAUUAUUUGGUUUCAUUGCAGGGAUUUUCAUUGAAUUAUCUAUGUUUAUUUGGAUUAAAACUGGUUUCUUAUUCCCUUUCUCUUUAAAAAAAUCUUUCUUUUCUUCUUUUUUCGAAAUGGUUGACAAUUCAUGAGUUGUUGCUGAGAUUACUGCUAAUAAGGUUGCUAUCAUUUCUUCCACUUCUGGCAGUGGACAAAAUACACACACUCUAUGGUCAAUGAGGCAGAUCUCAACAAUCUGAAUAAUGAGCAAAUGCUCCAAUACAUUAAAAGGAUGCAGGGCACUCUCGAGUAGUAUAAGAUUUGAGAGGAUGCCUCAUUUAUGGUUCCUAGGAUAAGGGAGGGCGCUUGCAUUGAUAUCCCAUGGACUCGGAUAUAAGCGAUCCAAGAGUAGUCCAAAAGAAAAGCCAAACUAGUGGAUGAGGAUUCGUUAGUCGAGGCUCCAAAUUAAGAACGUUGACUGGAAGCUGGUUCGAGCCGUGCAAAGGUACCAGAAGGAGCAAGAGGACUAUGGCUUGGAAGAUGCCUCACCCCUAUCAGAAGAGAUCUUAGCAGAAACUUUCCAAACCAAGUUUAAGCUAUCAAGCCUAGAAAAAUAUGAUGGAACAGUAGAUCCCAGAAGUCAUAUGGCGAUCUUUAGGACAACCAUGCAGCUUCAGCAUGUCAACGACUUCAUGUUGUGCCCGAUAUUUCCAUUAACACUAAUAGGUUUGACUCAAAAAUGGUACCAACAUCUGUGCACAAGUUUAAUUCAGAAGUUUACACAAUCUGUUUUUUAAUUUAAAUUCAGAUUUAGUACUUAUAUACCUCCUAAAAAGCUCUCAUCUGACUUGCGAAAGAUCCACCAAGGAGAGGGCGAGUCUUUAAGGAGAUUUAUCUCACGGUUUAAUGUAGAAGCGAUACAGAUAGAGGAAUUAAAUCAUGAUAUAGCAUGUGAAGCGUUAAAGAAAGGAAUACAUAACAUCAAGUUCAUAGAUUUUCUAAGCAAGAACUCAGUUGCUAUGUACCAAUAGUUAAUGGACAAAGUUCAGAAGUACAUCAGGUUGAAUGAUAAAGUCCAAGCAUUGAGAGAGGAUAAAAUGACGACUCAAAAGCAAAACAAGAAGCCAGAAAGACAAGAAUAUGAAGGAGACCGCAAAAGUUACCCAGUCUUUCAAAGAAGGGAUGGUCAAGGUAAGUAUAAGAAUUAUACUCCAUUGAGGUAACUCACAAACACAUAUUCUAGUAUGGAUUAGGAAAAAUGACAAGGAAAUCAGGUGGCCUUUCAAGCUCAACCCUGAGAAAGCCAAAAGGUGAGACAUGACCAAGUAUUGUCACUUCCACAAAGACCACAGCAGAUAACGGAGGAGUGCCGGCAGCUAAAAGACAAGAUCAAAAGGUUAAUAAGGAUAAAACACUUCAAAAGUUUUCCAGAAAGAGUAGAGAAGAGAGGAGGCUUGAACACGAGGUAAUAACUCAUGAAACCACCCUUGACAGUUGUAACGACCCGAAAAUCGGACCGCUACCGGCGCUAGGAUCCAGAUCGGCUUAAGGCCGCCGAAGGUGCCGCCGAACCUGCCCUGUUCAACCUUCCUUUGCAUGUUUUUGCAUGAUUGUUUUGAGGUGUUUUAGGGGAUUUUUGAGGGAUGUUUUUAGAGUUAUGUUCUAGUUGUUUGGUCCCUCAUUUGAGUCCACCUGUGUAGGUUCGGACCCGAGGAACCGAGGACCCCAGCAGUGAGUUCAGCUGCUUCUGAGUCUGUAGAGCUUCAGCCAGAGGUGAGUAGAAUAAACCUUUACGAUUUAAAGCAAAUAAGUUAUAAAGUCUUUAGCAUGUUCAUGCAUCAUGAAUGCCAUGUGAUGAAUUAGGUUGUUUGCAUUAGAAUACACAAAUAUGUUGCAUUGCAUUUAUGAUGUUGAUGUUGAUUGGUUAUUGAAUGAUCCUUUAGUCCUCAUAUGGUAUGAUGAUGCUACGGCAUGAUAUGGUAUGGAAGUCCAGGUUGUACCCAUUCUACGUUCCUGGCACUAUGUAAGAGAAAGUCCAGGUUGUACCCAUUCUACGUCCCUGGCACAUUGGUAUGUAUGAUAUGUUAUGUUAAGAGAAAGACCGGUUGUACCCAUUCUACGUCCCGGCACUUUGGAAUGUAGAGGACUAUUGGUGACAAUACCAUCCGAGAUGUGAUUUGUUGUGAUGUGUUGCAUUACAUGAUGGCAUGAGAUCUUAAAUGUUGAUUUCUAUUAUUCUGCUCACUGGGCUCUAGUAGCUCACCCCUUUUCCCUAAUCCCCCAGGAUUGCAGGUACGGGCUCGACAGAGAAGUCAAGAAGAGUAAAGUCUUGUAAUUGUAAUAGUUAGAAAGUGGACAUGAUAAAUUAUAAGAUGAUGUAAAGAUGAAUAGUUAUGUUAUGUAUUUGUUCAGUGCAUGCACAGGUUGAGUUUGGUGUAUGAUAGAAUGUAUGAAGGAAAAGUUUUAAAUUUUUAUGUAUGUUGUUGAUCAUGUAUGGGAUUAAACAGGUUUACAGGUUACAUGUCAGGCUUGCUACGGGUCCCGGCGGCCUUAAGCCGAUCUGGAUCCUAGCGCCGGUAGCGGUCCGAUUUUCGGGUCGUUACAACAGUGAACCCAAUGAUGCUAAGAGAAAAAUAGUCACGUUGUAGAAGACGUUCUAUCAGUGGAGCGGGAACCAUGGACCAAGUAGGAAGUAAAGUUUAGACCUGCAAAUAGGCUUCUUUCAAAAUGACCUGCUAGUUAUCAACAUCCAUUUGAACAAGUAUGAAGUGAGGCGAGUCUUAGUGGACUCACGUAAUUCUAUUAAUCUCCUCACCUUAGAUUUUUUUAAUAAACUAGGCUUAGAUAAAAAUAAUUUUGUUAAAGUCUCCUAUCCAUUAAUGGGAUUAGGAGACAAGACUAUAACAGUACCAUCAACCUCCCCAUUGUGCUGAGUGAUGAAAAGCACAAGCGGGAGUUGUAUGUAGAGUUCAUGGUAGUAAAUAUCCUGCUCGCAUACAAUGUAAUAUUAGGUCGCCUAGUCCUAAACUGCCACGGUAUAGUUAUUAACAUGUGUGCUAGUAUCCUAAGCUACCAGCUCCAAGAGGAUUGACGGUCGUUUGAGGUAACCAUAAGUCAGUUCGUAUAUGCUAUAAACACUGCACAAAAAGCCUUGAGAAAGUGAUGAUGCCCACUUGCUGGAGAAACCUAAUCCUCACAUAAAACUAGAAGCAGCACCCCAAAAUCUCAAUUCAACCUGGAUCAAGCUAUGUUUUUACGUGAACAGAUUGCAAUCAGAAUGGCAAUUUAUAGGGAAAAGAUGUACAUAGUGUUCAAUAGUAAAGUUAGGUCAUGUGUCUUUAAUGUAAGGGACUUAGUCCUUAAAAUAACAAAUGUAACAGACGGUAGUAUCAGUUUUGAUAAGUUAGGUGAAAAUUGAAAAGGACCAUUUAGGAUCUCGAAGGUUAUUCGUCCACAGUCUAAUAAGCUGGCCAAAUUAGAUGGCUGAGUCUUUCCUCACUCCUGGAAUAUAUGUAAUUUGAGAAAAUUUUAUAAAUAACAAUUAACAAUAUAUUUUUUUCAUGUGUUGUAUUAUUCAGUGAUAAGAAACGAUGGAGUUGCCUUCUUCAAAAAAAUUAAAGAGCGUUCAUUAAAGGCCAAAAGGUGGGUAUCCACCAUACCAUAAUCCGAGUGUUAGUCCCGCUAAACAAGACAUUUUAUGCUAGGUCACAAGUCGAUUUUCCGUCAUGCCAUAAUUCGGGUGUUAAUCCCACUAAACAAGGUAUUUUAUGCCAAGCCAUAAGGCGGAUAUCUGCCAUGCCAUAAUCCGGGUGUUAGUCCAGCUAAACAAGACAUCUUAUACCAGGCCACAAGGUGGAUAUCUGCCAAGCCCAUAAUCCGGGUCUUAGUCUUGCUAACUAAGGCAUUUUAUGCUAAUGCCACAAGGCGAAUAUCCUUCAGGCCCACAAUUCGGGUGUUAGUCCCGCUAAGGAAUUGUAUGCCACAACCACAAGGCGGGUAUCCGUCAGGCCACGCAACCGGGUGGUAGCCCCAUUUCACAAAAAACUUCUAAGGCAUUUUUAUGCUAGGCCAUAAGGUGGACGUUCGCCAGGCCAUGCAACUGGGUGUUAGUCUCGUUUCACAAAAAAUUUCUAAAACAUUUUGAUACCCAGGCUAUAAGGCAGAUAUUUGCCAUGCCACGAGACCGGGUGUUAGUUCCUAUUAUAAAAAUUUCUCUAAGGUAUUUCAAGCCAGGCCAUAAGGCGAGUAUUCGUCAAGCCAUAUAUCUGGUGUUGAUCCCGUUUUUCAAAUUUUCUAAGUUAUUUAUUUGAUGGCCACUAGUUAGGCUAGUAACUGGGUAUUAUAGUCAGGUGUUAAACCCCUUAACAAUCCUUUAAAGAGAUUACUUAAGUCUUCUUGAUGAUAGUCGAAUGAGAGUUAUGGUCGAGUAACGAUCAUACAAAUACUUUGUAAAAAUAAUGAUAAAAUGAAAUGAAAAGGUUUUUUCAUUAAAAAAAGGGAGUAUUAUAGGGCAGGAGGGACAUCAUUAUUCGCCUCCUCCCGAGCUUUCGUUACAGGCUCACCAUUUGCUAUUAUAGUAGAAGCCGGGUUAGGAGGGUUGUCUUCGAUUACCCCUUCCUCGUCCUACACAUCCUUGUCCUCGUCCUCCUCUUCCGGGAAGAUGUCGUCGAUCCAGGAGAAGCCCUUUGUAGGAAAUCGCCUGAUGAGCUCCUUCUUGAUAGAAUCUUGACCUUGUAUGAACUUCUCCCCACCCCAGGCCACUGUCUCCUGAAACUCAGCUUCUAGUUUAGCUACUUUAUCUGUGAUGGCCCUAGCCUUCUCCACUUGGGAUUGCAGCUUCUGGAUUUGGUGCUGAAGCAUGGCCAGUUGACUCUCGACUUCUUGUGCCCGAUUCUCAAGGGCUAACUUUGAAGUAUUUGCCUGGUCCAGGUUCGCCUGGAGCUUAUCCACCGAUUCUAGUGUCUCCUUCAUUGUACCCUCCACUUCCUCAAUCUGAGCCUUCAGCCUCAAGUAUUCCUCUUGUAGGAGACCUUUGUCUGUCUCCUAGGCACCGAACUCUCACCUUAGAGCUUUGUUAUGCUCCUUAGCCAUAUUAUCUCAAGGGGCACUUUUCAUUGCAGAGUGUAUAAUGUUGUCAUAAAGAUCAUCUGUCUCGACAACAUUUAGCUGAUGACGAUCCUCAAGCCUCAGGGCAUUUUUAGCAAUAAGGACUGACAGCUUGGGUUCCUCGAGUAGUGAUGACGUUCGAGUCAGGGCCAUGGCCAGGUGUUGAAUGCCCCGGGGCCACACAACUUCGGCUUCAGUACUUUCUCGAGAUGGCUCGGCAGGAUAGGGGCUACUAUGGGAAUGCCCCUGGAGGAAGACUCAAGUUGAAUGGGGAUGACUUCGUCGGUGGUAGGUGGAGGAGGGGGAGGAAGAGUGAUAAUCUCCUCGGCGCGACGAGUACGCUUAUGUGGAGGCGCAAUCGCUCCAGCAACAGCCUUACCUUUUCGGGCAGCAUGGGCAAUUUGGGCAAAUUUGGCUUUUGAUCUGGCCAUUUCUGCAUAGAAUAAAAAGUGAGUAAGUAAGAGAGUUUGAAAUACAAAAGAAGUUGGAAAGAAAAAUACCUUGCUCGUUAGUCAGGGAUGUGCUUUUUCCAAGGCAGGGAAGGCUGGGUGGGUGAGGACCCCAAGCCUAGCUUGCCUAGAGAUGGCUCUGCCAAGAUAAAAUGACAUUCCUCAGCGCCUUGAUGAUGUCUAUCUUCUAGGAUGUGGCCAUCGUCUGGAGAAAGUCCAAAGCCUCUUCCUCACUCCUCCAUGGCUGGACCCCAUCCUUUCUCAGCUCCACAUAUAUGUUCCAGCUCGUUCAAAGGGGACUGAAACCCCUAAAUACCCGGUGGCGGAGAAUGAAAAAUUUAUUCUUCCACCGUUUCAAAGAUGAGAGGAUCCGAUUGAAAAGCGUUUGACAUUUUCUUCUGCUGAACAACUAGAACUCCUUAUUUUUUUGUGUACCCAGUUAGUACAGUUGCAAGAAAAGCGCAACGCUCAGAUCUAUAUUAUUGUUAAAACAAACAAACCAAAAGGCCAUCAAUAUCCUCCAGUUGUUGGAGUGCAACUGGGCAACUAACAGCUUAUGAAAUCGAAGGACCUCAGUGAAAAAUGGCUCCAUGGGGAACCGAAGUCUCGUCUUUAGCUGCUCUUCGUAGACCAUGAUGGUAUCCUCCAUAGGGAUCUAGUCAUCUACGCAAACGCUCGGAGAUGGAGUGAAGACACGGAAGAUUUCUCAAGAGAUGUGGUAUUGAUUGUAUAAGCGGUAUACGUCCUUCUCAGUUAGUAUGGAAGGGAUUUCAUUGAUCAAUAUACUUUUGUUCUCAUGGACUGCCCUUUGUGGGACAAUGUGUGCCAAAGCGCGAAUGAGACCGUCUGAGGAAGAGCUUGAGGCAGAACUUCUACAAGAGGAAGAGGAAGAAGUGUUCCCAUUCAUUGCUAUGAGAAAAAAUGCGAAAAGGAGUUACCUUGAGUAAGGAAGUUUGUAAAUAGAAAAGAGGAGUGGUCGAGUCUUUUCUAAAAGCGCAAAAGUUAGUUGUAAGCAAAAGUGGUUUUCAGAGGAGAAGAAGGGUUUUUAUACGAUGGCUUCACCGGCAAGUUUUGAAUGCGACUCGAGAAACAGGGUAAUCAUUAUUUAUGGGAAGAAGCAAACAAAAUGAUGUGAGCAUAGAAGACCAAUCUAAACUUGGAUCGUAAAGACAACUGUCACUUUUGAAUAUAAAGAAUCGAAGAUCAGUGGGGAACUUCUGAUGUAGUACAACAAUCACCCAAAGUAGGUCAUGUGUUGGCACUCGAAGAUAAGGUCACUUGGCAAGUGUCUGAUCAAGUGAUACUCAGUCCCACUGAGGAAAAAGAGGUCUCGGACGCUUCAGGUCUCAGCUCUUCAUCAAAACUCGCCCUCUCAACUACAUGGUGAAGCUCCACAAGAGUUACCGUUAGAGAAUGCAAUCCAACAGAUCUCCAUUACACCUAUAAUUGUAGAAUUUUUCAUAUCUACUAACCGAUACUAGUUGGAUUUUCAGGAGAUGCGAUAAUAAACUCCAUCUUCUAACAGUGUAAAAACAAAUAAAUACAGAGAUCAAAAUACACAACUCUUACACAAUUACUAUUAAAUUCAAAACACUACAUUAAACACGUCUUUCUCUUUAAUUUAUUGACUUAGCGUCGGAGUAGCUGUGGUAGACACCAACCAUCUCAUUUUUUUUUUCUUACAAAUUAACCAAUUACGAUACAGUUUUAUUUCAGUCAUAUCACUUAACUACAAAACUUAAAAUAUAUUUUAAUGACUAUAUUAUCAGUUAUUCCUGCAAAAGUUAGUAACCUCGAUUAUCAAUAAAUAGUGAUAUUUCAUAAAUUAUGCUAAGAAAAAAAUUUAAGAUAAAAAUUUCUAUAUUAAAUUAAUACAUCAGUAACUAUAGAUAUAUAUGAUCCAAAAAUAUGCUAAAAACAAAAUAAUCUCAAUAAAUUUUGUAAAUUGAUUUUCUUUGUAACGUAUGAAUUUAUUGUAAUUAAAAUUGAUUUUUGGUUUGCGUGGAUUUAGUAUGAGUAGCAGUCAGAUGUUGAUACAAUAUUCUUUGGUCUUUUUUUUUUUUUAAUUUUCAUCUUAUCAAGAGAUGAAGUAAUUUCUCGUACUGUCAGUUCCUGGUUCUUGAAUCUUGAUUCUUCACCUUUUAUUUUUGUUUUCAAAGGAUGAUGCUUGGUUCUUAUCCUUAAUUUAUCGUUUUGAACCUUAGGAUUAAUUCUUAUCCCAAUCUCUACUCCCACAUAAUCAGGGGUGAAAAAAGUUGGAAAAAAAUGACUAAGGCUCACACAAUUUGUCAUCCUUAUAGCAGCAAUUGCAGCAGAAACGACAAACCUAAUUUGGCGUUUUGUCAUCCCUAAUUGUUACAUACAAAUGUUGCUUGCCUAUUGGGGACACACAAAGAAUUUGAACCGUAACAACCUGGGAACUUGGGUUGAGGCGAUAACUGGGUUGGUUGAAACCUAGGAAGGGUUACAUAAUAAUUACAUAGAUUUUAUCCGACAUCGAUUUUAAAGGAUAUUUAGUAUUUUCACUAAAUUAAAAUAUUAUUAUUUAAUAAUUAAAAUAAAAAAUUAUGAAAAAUUAUUCAUUAUAAUAUUUAAUUAAUUAUUAUUAAAACAGUUAAUAAGUAAUUGAUAUUCUCAAAGAGCCGUAAAUUUGAUUAUUUUCUAGAACAAUACUGAAAAUUUUUCUCUUUUUCCUUCCUGCUCUUGGAUUUGAUGUUGACUUCUACAGUAGCAGAGACAAUAAUGCAAAAUUUUCCCAAUCAGUGCAUUCUUCGACAAAGGCUUGAUUAACCUUUAAUCUCUUCUGGCUUAUUCAUCCUUAAAAAUAUCAGGCUUCUUCCUCCCCCUUUGUGGGAACCACAGGUUGAGAUUUUCUAUAAAUGAACUACUCUCUUCCUUCUCAUCAUACUCUGGAAGCAACCCUUUCUUACAGAGAAAAUGGAAGCAGGUCCAUUUUUAGUCUAUGUGCU
rnacentral:lncRNA from 1 species